rnacentral:rRNA from 1 species
UACGUAGGGAGCAAGCGUUGUCCGGAUUUACUGGGUGUAAAGGGUGCGUAGGCGGUUCUGCAAGUCAGUUGUGAAAACUAUGGGCUUAACCCAUAGCCUGCAAUUGAAACUGUGGGACUUGAGUGAAGUAGAGGUAGGUGGAAUUCCCGGUGUAGCGGUGAAAUGCGUAGAGAUCGGGAGGAACACCAGUGGCGAAGGCGGCCUACUGGGCUUUAACUGACGCUGAAGCACGAAAGCAUGGGUAGCCAACAGGAUUAGAUACCCUGGUAGUCCACGCUGUAAACGAUGUCGACUUGGAGGUUGUUCCCUUGAGGAGUGGCUUCCGGAGCUAACGCGUUAAGUCGACCGCCCGGGGAGUACGGCCGCAAGGUUAAA